GCCCGGCUGGCGCAAUGGCUAGCGCAUACGACUUCUAAUCGUAAGGUUGUGGGUUCGAGCCCCACGUCGGGUU
rfam:Fungal sp. No.14919 DNA, contig: Contig0015.